GUCCCUUUGGGGGACAUCCAAUAAAAUUAGAAUGAUAUAGAGAAGAUUAGCAUGGCCCAUACCAAGGAUGACACACAGAAAUCGAGAAAUGGUCCAAUUUUUU